CAAUAUCCUGAUGAAGAAAAUGGCGGAGAUGAGGAAUCUUACCAGAAGGUCAUCUCCUCAGGGAAAGUGGUUUGUCUGCCUGACUCACCAGUGCAAAACAUUGAAUGCAAAGCAGAGAGAUUCCCUAAUACCCCAUGGGAGGAAUUGGGCCAGACAAUCACUUGUGACAAGAAUCAAGGACUGAAAUGUGUCAAUGAGGAUCAAGGAGGACUGCCAUGUUACAACUACAAGGUCAGAUCCUGCUGCUCCAGAGCAAGUGGACCCCCUGCACCAAGUCCAUCUUCACGAAGCCCAGGACCAACUGCAUCGAAGGACAAGACACCUGCACCUCCAACCUCCAGCAACAAGUAGCCAGAACCCUCACCCUCAGGAGGGCCAGUGACACCAAAACCCCCGGUUGAGGAAAAGCCAACAAAGCCAGCUCCAGCAGAGAGUGGCGCUCCGCCUCAAGAACCAACUGCACCGAAGGACAAGACACCCCCACCUCCAACCUCCGGCAUCAAGGAGCCAGAACCCUCACCCUCAGGAGGGCCAGUGACACCGAAACCCCUGGGAGAGGAAAAGCCAACAAAGCCAGCUCCAGAAGAGAGUGGCGCUCCGCCUCAAGAACCAACUGGAGCCAAGGACAAGACACCCCCACCUCCAACCUCCAGCAGCAAUGUGCCCGAACCAUCACCCCCAACUUCAGGCCCAGAAGACUGUGCUCCAGGCUGGUCUGAUUGGUACGAUGAGCAAUAUCCUGAUGAAGAAAAUGGCGGAGAUGAGGAAUCUUACCAGAAGGUCAUCUCCUCAGGGAAAGUGGUUUGUCUGCCUGACUCACCAGUGCAAAACAUUGAAUGCAAAGCAGAGAGAUUCCCUAAUACCCCAUGGGAGGAAUUGGGCCAGACAAUCACUUGUGACAAGAAUCAAGGACUGAAAUGUGUCAAUGAGGAUCAAGGAGGACUGCCAUGUUACAACUACAAGGUCAGAUUCUGCUGCUCCAGAGCAAUUGGACCCCCUGCACCAAGUCCAUCUUCACGAAGCCCAGGUACAUUGGAAAAAUUAUUUGCAAAGCACAUGGAUAAUAUAUGACAUGUCAUCAUAUCCAUAAUGUUUUCUGGGUUAGAUCGUAUGAAUAU